rnacentral:rRNA from 1 species
UACGUAGGGCGCAAGCGUUAUCCGGAAUUAUUGGGCGUAAAGAGCUCGUAGGCGGCUUGUUGCGUCAGCUGUGAAAAACCCCGCAGCUCAACUGUGGGCUUGCAGCUGAUACGGGCAGACUAGAGUGUGGUAGGGGGAGACUGGAAUUCCUGGUGUAGCGGUGAAAAUGCGCAGAUAUCAGGAGGAACACCGAUGGCGAAGGCAGGUCUCUGGGCCACUACUGACGCUGAGAAGCGAAAGCAUGGGGGAGCGAACAGG